CGCUGGUAAAUCUUCACUCCUGGAACCAGCUGGCCAAGGGCAAGAAGCAUCAAAGCCACAUGGAAUCACAGAUUUGUUAGGCUGGGAAGGGACCUCGGGAGAUAAUCUAGUCCAAUCCCCAUUAAAAACAGUGAAAGUAUUAAAGGCACCACUAAAAACAGAGCGCACCAGAAGUUGUUCUUCACGCAGCAACAGCUGCCUGUUGCUGACGAAGCCCGCUCGCUUCUCCUCGCUCAGAAAAUCUGUUACUUUUAUCGCAUUUCAGGGAUGACUUCUGUCGAUGCCAUCUCCGCCCGUCUCCUCCCAGCCCUACCGCCGCUCCCGCCUCAGCCAGGCAGUGACUCAUUCUGCUGCUGUUUCUCUUGAGAGACUCUGGGUCCCAGAGGAAAUUAAAUUGUUCCUUGCUGCUCUUUCCAGUGCCCAGAAAGAACACAUGUGACAGAUAUUCAAGAGAGCCAAGCCAUGGAGUACUUCAGAUGCUGCAGGACAGCACCUUGCUGGACCAUCAUCUGCACCAGCAUGGGGCAGACUGAGGGUAUUCACAGCCCCACUGAAGAUGAAGAGAACACCUAUAGCUACCAGAAGAUAAAGACAAAGAGGGAGCUGCACUGAACCCCUGAGAAUGAGGAACAUCUGUGUGCUCCAGAGCAGGACCAGCAUCCUGCAGAAAUCAUUUUCCCAUCUAGGGGAAACUGUCAAUAUUUUAGACUUUUCUGCCCCUUAUCAGCUAAAACUUAAAACUAAGGAGAAAUUAAAAUCUCAGACAUUACA